rnacentral:sRNA from 1 species
AGAUACCAGGGUCAAAAGGUCAUGCGUUUCAUGCUUGCAUGAAAAAGCAUGACUUUGGGACCCGCAAAACAUGAGAAAGUAGCCCAAGUAGGGCGGAUUUCGAAUGCUUUUAGGAUUGCGGGAACACAAAGUGCGGAGCAAUCCGUAGGUAUCA